GAGUUGAGAAAUGCCAAGGAUUGUAGCUUGGGUCCAUGAAUCAGUAGAACGCUGUUACGGAGUUAAACAGAGCCUUUAAAAACAGGUAAAACCUGUUAAGAGAUCAAAUAUUGAAUGAACUAAUUAAUGAAAGACUGGGUGGAGGGUGAGGAAUGGAGAAGUCGUGUAACAAAGACGAAGCAGAAGGGGUGGAAGUCGGGAAACAAGUUUGGUUUUGGAUCCAUGGAAACUGAGGUCUCUCCAGCAACCAGGUAAAGACACCACCAGCUGACUGACCGAGUUGGAGACAUCCAACAUGAAUACUGCAUGCGAACCUACUGAUCCAAACAAUCGGACUCAAAAUAGAGCACCCCCAGAAAAGCCACAGACUCUUCCAAGUGGCCGGAAGCUAGCACACCCGAGGACCUCUACUCACGGGAGUGAGAAGUAGAGAAGAGGAAAAGGUGCUCAAGGCUCCCUUGACCCACAGCAGAAAUGACAUGACAUCUGGGAUUUGCUUUGAAAUUAACUGAUGGAGAUCAGACGAAACACCACUGGCUGUGAACCACUGAGGCUGAAUACAUAACUGACUGAGGACAAGGAACAAUGACGGAGGAAUGCAAGGAAGAAGAGCGUGGCUGAGCACAUCAGCAGGCAAGAGCCAUCUGAGGAGGAAGCAGGGUAUCUAAGAGAAAGCAAUCCUAGGCCAGGUCCCCCGGGUAAGAUGGACUGGUACAAGGGAGAGAGAUCCAGGAACGGGGCUUUGGCAGGACAGGUCCCGUAACACUCAGGCAAGCCUUGGAUGGUGACUAACAGACGUGCGCAUCUGAGCAGGAGAUCGGCAAUCGAAAGGCUGAAAGAUUCCGCAGCAGAUCUCCUCCUUCCAGACUUCCAUUUUUCUCCUGUUGCGUUUCUCAGCCAGGGAUGGUCUCUGCAAUUAAAUGACCGAAAGGUCCUUUUUCUCCACAAGCCCCAUUCCGAAGACAGGCUCUGUGCCUACGUGGGGACUGAGAUGCUGGCUUUUUGAGCUCUCCUGGGAAAAUGGGAACAAAGGCUCUAAAUAUGGCUCAAAACCCUUGCACGAGACCACAUGGAAAAGGCAGCAUGAGGCUGGCAGGAGGAGGAACCCAUCAGAAUUAAAAGGCUCUGCAUCCAGAACCCAUCCCGUUUGGAUCGCUGUGCAAGAUUUCUCCAACCAAAGCUCCCGGGUCCCAAGUGUAAGGCUGACUGGAUUCCCAUCAGGAAACUGCGCAAGGGUAUGUUCUUGUACAGAGUCUCUCCAACGUUAUUCUUGGCUCUGCUAACAUUGCUUUGGCUUUAAAAAAUCAAUAAAUAAAGCAAGCAGAAGGUCCCUUCACAUCCAGGCUGGACUAAAUGGGCUUUGCCCUUACCAAGCCAAAGGGAUAUUUAGCCCAAGGAGAUCACUUCUGCUGGAUACCUGACGCUUCACAUGAUUUUUCCUUGGGAGGGCCAGCAGUUCACAGGAAGCUUUGCUACAUGAGAAUCGAUGUUGCUAAGCUACCAAAAGUCACUGUGGUGAGAGAAAAGCCAGAGAUUGGGGCGGGGGGGCGGGGGGAGUACAGGAGAGGGGGAUGGGACAUCGACAGGAGAAAAGCAGGAGAAAGGGAAGAAGAAACAGGAAAUAUAGUCCAGAUUACACAAUGACUUUUAAGGCUCUGAAAGGAAAUGGCUAAAUCCUGAAAAUUUCAGUUCUAUAAAGUGGAUCAAAAUCCUUGCCAGUGAUCCUGAAAUGACAGGACACAAAGAAGGUAUCCAGAAAGAACCGCUCUUACUCCUCUGGGUACUUUGAUCGAAAUCGAAAGGAAAAAUGCCUUGAUCUUGUUCUAUUAUUUAUUUUAUCAUUUUUGUCUGACAAUCUGGGUACAACAAACUUUUAUCUAGUAGGAGCUCAAUAAACACUUGCUGGUGGACUGGCCAGUACUCUCCCAGGGAGAAGACGGCAGUGACGAAGGACGGAUGGGAUAGGGGAGAAGAGGGUGUGUACGAAGUUCUGUGCUAACAGGGCUGUGUGUGAUUCGGGGGGUGUGAUGCAGGAGGCGGUCAUUCAUGUGCUUUUUUAAAAACAAUAUUUUAUUU